UACGGAGGGUGCAAGCGUUAUCCGGAUUCACUGGGUUUAAAGGGUGCGUAGGCGGACAGGAAAGUCCGUGGUGAAAUCCUGCAGCUUAACUGCAGAACUGCCGUGGAUACUCUCUGUCUUGAAUAUCGUGGAGGUGAGCGGAAUAUGUCAUGUAGCGGUGAAAUGCUUAGAUAUGACAUAGAACACCAAUUGCGAAGGCAGCUCACUACACAAUUAUUGACUCUGAGGCACGAAAGCGUGGGGAUCAAACAGG
rnacentral:rRNA from 1 species